CUCUGUCAGUAAAUCGGUGAACGUACUAACUACUUAUAAUACAAUAAUUAUGUUAUGUUGCAACCUACUUACUAUUUAACAAAAAAUUUUUUUUGUCAAAUUUGCCUAUCUACAUGUCUAUUAUACUAAACACACACAUAGCAAACAAGCCGGACGGCGUCCUCGGGCUCGAAACGAGCGAUACGUGCUUCUCCAUCGCGCUCCAAUCUCUGACUGACAGAGACAGACUGAUGUUAGAAUGAUCAGUUGCUCUGCAUCGAUCAGUCCGCGCGGGGCAGGGAGGCGUCGUUAUUCUUACCUGCCUACCUGUCUAACCACAUUUCUAAAGUGAUUGACGAAUGACUCUGCAUCACUGAUGACUGAUAUAUAAUAUUUCUACUACUUGUGGUCUUAUGGAAUAAAUAUAAUUUAUGAAUAGAUAAAAUCCCUAGAUAGCUAAGAACCUACCUACCGAAUUUGAAUUCGACUUGUGUUGAACACAAAAUUGUGUUCCUGAAAGUUUAAUUUAAAAUGUUAUAUGUUUUAUCGUGAUAGAAUAUGUACUAGAAGCAGUUAUAAUGUAAUGUAAUAUCUAGAAAAGGUUGGUUUAUAUUGUUUAGUUUUGAUAUUGCUCGGAAUAAGACAUUAUACGUUGACACGAUAAUUUA